UGAGAAAAAGAGAGCGAUAGACUGGCACACCUUUCUAUGUGGGCCUAAAAGUGGCACUGUGAUUUAAAAUGUCAAUAACUCUGCCUAUUCUGUUCGUGCUAGAAUUGUGCUGAUUGUAGCAGAUGAAAAUUGAUGUUAUUUUCUAUGUUAUUUAUUAUGUCUGAUGGCGGCUUGAUUUUUAAAAAUGAAACUGAUGUUGAAUCAGUUUGACUCAAUAGAUUGUCAACCGUUUUUUGCCUGGUAUAAAGAGUGAAACAGCGCCCCCCUCGGUGCUAUGCGUUGAACGUCUGGUCAAACGCUUUAUUGCACCGCCGACACUCGUUUACCUUAGAGACGAUCUCUGGGUUAAAACGUGGAAAGCGAAGAAAAUGACGUCAUGGCGACGCAUUAGCCGGAGGUCGAGAGAAGGCGGUUGCGAUUGAACUUUCCACCAAUCGUCACGGCGUUCCGUCUCACCUUUACUCGGUUUAACGGUUGUAUUCGCGCAUUUAGAUAUUAAUAUUAAGCGCAAUUAUGAAAGCGGAUGUUUGGCGUUUUUAGUAAUAAAACAACUUUACUAAACUGCCAAAGUUUUAAUCAACUGUGACGGUAGCUAAUGCUAAAUCUACAGCUAGCAUAGAUGUGACACUUUGACUGUAGCUGCUAAGGUUCUGCCUCGUGCAGAGCAUUUUACCGUCCACAAAGAAUGAAGAGGCGCGUGAGGAACGCGCGUGGACAGGACAGAGUGUGUGGAAGGAGCUAAAGGCCUCUGUGAAACCGUGUGACCUGCUUAUUGACCAGUUCACCACCAGGACAGGAGCGCCGCCUUCCUCCCACCUGGGUAAAUAAGAUCUGACUCCAGUUAGAAUGGCGUGAGCUGGCAGUGGCUCCAGAGAGCGGGAUGCCGUCAUGCUGAUUUGCUGAUGGACCCCGAUAGAAGAGAACAAACAAACCCUGUAGAUCUGACACCACGACGGCGGAAACCAUUGAACAGCCGUGUGAGUGUGGAGGAGAGUGAUGAACACAACAACAACGCGGCCGCCCCAUCGGUGCCGACCCAUCGCUGCAGCUCCUUCUAAUCCGCUCUGGAACUCAACUGUGCCCUGAUCUUGCUUCACCUUCACCGGCCCAGGGAGGCUACACCCUGACAGCACCUUACUGUAAUUAUUAUCAUUAUCCCUGGUGGUGGAAGUAGUGGCAGCGGGAGUGUUUGUAUCUGUAUGUGAACCUAUAGUGAUACACUAUGUUCCUCUUAAGGUGAAUGGAGAAGGAGGAAAAUGUUUGAAUCUUCAUAUUGGUCUAAAGAGGUGAGAUGAUCUGCAUGGACACAAAUGCAUAAUCAUCAUUCUGUCCACAUAUAUAAUCACAAUAAUGCAGGAGGCCUGAUGUUCAUCCCACAGAGAGAUACCGACAGAACAAGCAGUUAUUUCCCUGCACUGAUACCUUUAAAUAACCAAAACACUUAAUGGAAGAAGACAGAGGAGAUGUGCGAUAACGACGUCUAAUUAUGAGUUGGCCUGUUCAAAUAUU
rnacentral:lncRNA from 1 species